rnacentral:rRNA from 1 species
AGAGUUUGAUCCUGGCUCAGGAUGAACGCUGGCGGGAGGCCUAACACAUGCAAGUCGAACGGGAUUGGGAGCUUGCUCCCAUGAGAGUGGCGCACGGGUGAGUAACGCGUAUGCAACCUACCUUUAACAGAGGGAUAGCCCAUAGAAAUGUGGAUUAAUACCUCAUAGUUCUUUUGGUCCGCAUGGAUUGAAAGAUAAAGCUCCGGCGGUUAAAGAUGGGCAUGCGUGACAUUAGCUAGUUGGUGAGGUAACGGCUCACCAAGGCUACGAUGUCUAAGGGUUCUGAGAGGAUGAUCCCCCACACUGGUACUGAGACACGGACCAGACUCCUACGGGAGGCAGCAGUGAGGAAUAUUGGUCAAUGGGCGCAAGCCUGAACCAGCCAUCCCGCGUGCAGGAUGAAGGCCCUAUGGGUCGUAAACUGCUUUUAUACACCAAGAAAAACACCCACGUGUGGGUGCCCGACGGUAGUGUAUGAAUAAGCAUCGGCUAACUCCGUGCCAGCAGCCGCGGUAAUACGGAGGAUGCAAGCGUUAUCCGGAUUCAUUGGGUUUAAAGGGUGCGUAGGCGGCUUUUUAAGUCAGUGGUGAAAUCCUGCCACUUAACGGUAGAAUUGCCAUUGAUACUGAAGAGCUUGAGUACAAUUGAGGUAAGCGGAAUGUGUAGUGUAGCGGUGAAAUGCUUAGAUAUUACACAGAACACCAAUUGCGAAGGCAGCUUACUAAACUGUAACUGACGCUGAUGCACGAAAGCGUGGGGAGCGAACAGGAUUAGAUACCCUGGUAGUCCACGCCGUAAAC